rnacentral:rRNA from 1 species
GACGUAGGGCGCGAGCGUUGUCCGGAAUUAUUGGGCGUAAAGAGCUCGUAGGUGGCUGGUCGCGUCUGCCGUGAAAGCCCGCAGCUUAACUGCGGGUCUGCGGUGGAUACGGGCCGGCUAGAGGUAGGUAGGGGCAAGUGGAAUUCCAGGUGUAGCGGUGAAAUGCGCAGAUAUCAGGAAGAACACCCGUGGCUAAGGCGGCUCUCUAGUACGGUACUGACGCUGAGACGCGAAAGCGUGGGGAGCGAACAGG